GACGAACGCUGGCGGCGUGCUUAACACAUGCAAGUCGAACGGAAAGGCCCUGCUUGCAGGGUACUCGAGUGGCGAACGUGUGAGUAACACGUGGGUGAUCUGCCCUGCACUUCGGGAUAAGCCUGGGAAACUGGGUCUAAUACCGGAUAGGACCAUCGUGUAGUGUCGGUGGUGUAAAGUUUUUCGGUGCAGGAUGAGCCCGCGGCCGAUCAGCUUGUUGGUGGGGUAAUGGCCUACCAAGGCGUCGACGGGUAGCCGGCCUGAAAGGGUGGACGGCGCCCUUGGGACUGAGACCCGGCGCAGUCUCCGACGCGGGGCAGCAGUGGGCAAUAUGGCACAAUGGGCGCAAGCCUGAUGCAGCGACGCCGCGUGGGGGAUGAAGGCCUUCGGGUUGUAAACUCCUUUCAACCAUGACGAAGCUGGUCUUAUUGGGUCAGUGACGGUAGUGGUAGAAGAAGCACCGGCUAACUACGUGCCAGCCGCCGCCGUAA
rnacentral:rRNA from 1 species